AUUGCGCCACUGCCUUCCAGCCUGGCUGACAAAGCAAGGCCCUGUCUUAAAAAAGCAAGCAAACAAAAAACCUAGGCUUGUUCUAUUUUUCUGCUCUUUAUCCUUCUCAUCCUUAGGCAUAUCAUAUCUCUUGACUAUGGUAACUUCAAGCAUUACAUCAUCACACAACUGUUCGAGCCUGGAUGAAAGUGUGAACCAGCAUGGACCAGUAACAAACAGUUUGAAGACCAGGCUGAGUUCAUGACCACACUUGUUGACUCUGCUGACUUCACAAGCUGGCCCCAGCCUGCCUCACCUGCCCCUUGUCUGCUGCUCCUUUUGUUCACCUACAACAAGCUGUUCUCUGUUACCAGAAUAUGCCACAUAUUUUGUUUCACUUCUGGAAUUGACUUUAUAAUCUGUUCUUUCUUCUUGGAAUGCCCUCCUCUAGCUGGGGAAAAUUUUUUAGACCAGAUUAAAAGUCACCUUCCCUGUGAUGUUUUCUCAUGAAAAAAAUAUUUUUUUAAGAGACAGGGGUCUCACUACGUUACCUAGGCUGGUCUCAAACUCCUGGGCACAAGUGGUCCUCCCACCUCAGCUUCCCAAAAUACUAGGAUUACAGACAUGAGCCAUCACGCCCCAACCUCAUGAAUUUUAGUUAGGUUAUAGCAGUAUAGUAAAAGUCCCUAUGCAUUGAAUUAUUUGCUCCCUCAUCAGUGUUUUUUCUUUGAAUCCUAGGUACACUUGUUUUAUUGGAUUACAGUUUCUGGGUCAGUAUCCAGGAUAGACUGAAAGUUUCUUGAAGUGAUAAUUAUCUUAUUCAUCUUUAUAUCCCCUGUUCUUGGAACACAUAGUUUGUCCUGAAUAAAUACCUACUGAAUUGAAUCAACUCAACAAAUGAGAAAA